rnacentral:misc_RNA from 1 species
UUGAAUAACCUGGUGUUGAUGCUGGCUCUCUAGGGGGCAUGUGCUCACAUCAUCUUAUUUAUUAUCUCUUGUGCACCUUUUGUAGGCUCUGAAAGCGAGUACCUUUCGCAGCACUUCUAAAGUGCUCGCGGUCUGAGGGGUUUGACGAUGUCUCUCCUUACCCGCUUGCUUCAGAGUCUAUGUUUUAUAUACUCUGUUAAAGUCUUUGAAUGUCUUCUUAUUGACGAAAGUCAGUAAAAUCUAUA